rnacentral:lncRNA from 1 species
UGAUAUGAUGAGCACAACGCCAUAAGUGUUGUUACUAUCUCUUCAUUCAUGCUUCAUUGCACCAGGAAUGCCACCUUCUCUGCAGAGUUCUCAAUACCUCCUUUUAGAAGCCUUUUGUUUUGUUCAUCUUCCAAGUAGAAACAGUGGAAAAAUUGUUUUAUCUGCUUGGGAUAGGGAUGCAGUUCACUCUGUAGAGUGCUUGGCCUUGGGUAGAAAAAGUGGUGAAGCCAGUUCAAGAUAGAUUAGACGAAAUUUGUUUUAUGAUGAUUAAUGAGUGACUCCAUCUCUAAUUUUCAAACACACUACAGAGACAACUAUGAUGAACAGAUUUUAGACCUGAUCAAUGUUGCUUUCAUCUGUAAACCAUAAUUUUCCCAGACAAUGGAUUCUUAUGUUGGAAUGAUCUUUUCCCAGUGGCAUCGCAGAAGCCACUUUUAGUCUACUCUAAUUGAGCGAAUCCCUGGCCUAAAAAUUCAUAUACUUUUGACUGUUUGUUGGAGAUGGGGAGGGAGGGAGAGAG